rnacentral:tRNA from 1 species
GGGGAUUUAGCUCAGUGGUAGAGCGCUUGCCUAGGAAGCGCAAGGCCCUGGGUUCGAUUCCCAGCUCCA